rnacentral:rRNA from 1 species
GACGAACGCUGGCGGCGUGCUUAACACAUGCAAGUCGAACGGAAAGGCCCUGCUUUUGUGGGGUGCUCGAGUGGCGAACGGGUGAGUAACACGUGAGUAACCUGCCCUUGACUUUGGGAUAACUUCAGGAAACUGGGGCUAAUACCGUAUAGGAUCUCCUGCUGCAUGGUGGGGGUUGGAAAGUUUCGGCGGUUGGGGAUGGACUCGCGGCUUAUCAGUUUGUUGGUGGGGUAGUGGCUUACCAAGGCUGUGACGGGUAGCCGGCCUGAGAGGGUGACCGGCGUCAUUGGGACUGAGAUACGGCGCAGUGGCGUACGGGAGGCAGUAGUGGGGAAUAUGGCACAAUGGGCGGAAGCGUGAUGCAGCGACGCUGCGUGCGGAAAGACGGCCUGCGGGGUGUAAACCGCUUUCGCCUAAGACGAAGCGUGAGUGACGGUACUGGAUAAAGAAGCACCGGCUAACUACGUG